ACGUCCCUCCCUGCCCCAGGACGUGCGCUGUGUCUGUUUGUCCUUCCCUCCAUGCAAAACCAAAACAAAAAAAGAUCCAGUUCUGUUUGUUAGGAGACCAGCGGGCAGGGAAGCGUUGCUGGGGGGGCCAGGAGCAUCCCCACUGUCCCUGAGCGGUGUAAGGCAAGGCAUGUGGCUGGGGAUGGGGCUGCCCUACACCUUCUUGUCACCCCCUACCCAAGUCUGCGAGGAGCUGCCUGCUCUGUAAGGUUUGCCAGCGCUGCCAGCGUCCCCCUGGCCGUGCCCGGGGUGCCAGCCACCUCCUCCCCCAGCUGCACGGAGGGACGCAGAGACAGAUGUCUCUGUCAAGGCAGAGCAGGCUUGGCUUGGUGGGGAUGAAUGGGAAUUUGAUUAUGCUGCUCGGCACAGCCUGGCUAACGCGAUUAACGGGGCAGCAGAGAGGAUUCAGGCUGUGGAAGGAGGCAGCCUUGCCGCCCCCUCCCCUCGCAGCCCACCCGUUCUCCCAGCCCCAGCACUGCCCAGCUGGGACGGGGAUGCUGUGCACCCUCUGCUCCCAGGGUGCUGAGAAAUCCCCAUUUCUGCUGUCCCCACGCAGGGACUGACACCCUGUCCACCUGGAAGACAGCACUGGGGAACCCUAUCGUGUACCCGCACCAUGGCUGGAACAAGCCCACCCUCCUCUCCCCUCUGCCCUGCCCUGCCCAGGGUGACCAAGCUCGCCCUCCCUUGCUAUUUACAUUACAAAGCCCCUCUGCUCCGCUCUGGGUUAUAUUUAGCUCCCCGGCACAGAACAGCCUGUGAGAUGUUGGCGCAUCCUAUCCACCCGCGUGCCGAGCAGCUGGGGCGCCCCACAUCCCUGCUUUGCUCCGUGGGGUGCAAAAGGCUGGGCUGGGGGGCGCAGGGGGCACAGCAGCCCCUUUUUCUGACCGCCACGGGGUGCCUGUGCCAAGCCCCCCGAGGUGACAGGAGCCGGGGCUGGGAGCAGGAGAGCAGAGGUCUGGCUCCCGGCACGCUCCUUGCCCCAUGCGUGUGGCCCGUGCAGCGAGCGCUGUGCGCUGUGGUUUCCUUUCUGCAUAAACACCCCCACGGGCUGCGCUGCUGGGCGCAGCGCUGCUGACAGAAGGCCAUUGCUGCAAGCCUCACCCCAAAGCGAGGCAGAAAGAUGAGAGAGAGCCCUGAGCUGCUGCGCUGUGCAAGUGCUGAGCUGUGGGGUGCUGCGGGGCAUUGCCCAGGGCCGAAGGAGCUGCCUGGCUGGAGCUCCCCCAGGCUGUACCCGCUCUGCGAGCUGGAGAUGCUCCUGCCCCACUGCCACAGCACCACGGAGACACCUGGAGCAGGAGCUGGUGUGACAUGGGGCUCUGACCGAGCUCCUUGGCCCAGCAAUGCUGGCAGCGAGGCACAAAUCCCAGCACUUGUCCUGGGCUUGCAGCGGUGACAGGGAGCACGGGGCCCUCCUGGCGCCGCAGAGGCACCUCCCUCCAGGCGAAAUUGUCCCAGAAUCUGCAAAGCCGGUGCACAAGCCAGCAUCAUUAAUAAGCUUGGCACGGAACUGCUACUCAAAGCCCUAAAUAUAACCUGAGUGCUGAGCUCUGUUCCACCCGCCCAAGGCGCCUCCGUACACCACGGCAGCUAUUUCUGGAAGGAACGUUAUUUCCAUAGGCUUAAUAUCAUUUCUGCUCAUUUCAAACCCUUUAUAUAGUGGCUAACGCCGCCUGCCCCUCGUGAUGACUAAUGAGUCCCAGCAGGAGCAGGCAGCUUGGCAGCGGGAGAGCUGGGGCCUCCCACCUUCGCUUGACAUUGAGGACACCGAUGAUGACCAUGGCCUUCGGAGCAGGGCCCCCAAACUCCUAAACGGGGUCGGGAAGUGCCUUUGGCUCCAUGUGGUGGUGUGGUGAGGGGGUUUCUGCCGCCCCCCUGUGCCAGGUCAGCCCAGUUCUGGGCACCAGCUGCUCCGGGCAGCAGCUCUGCCCCCGCCUGCCCCCCACCUGGCACAGGAACCAGGAGCAGCUGGUCCCAGCCCCGUGUGGGCGGCACAAGCAGAUUUUCACCUCCAGAUACUUCCUCUCCUGUUUUCUCUUCCCUUUGCCCUGCUGCCUUGAACUGGAUGGUCGGGGCAGCAGCUCAGCCUCCUCCCUGGCACGGGCCAGCAGGUAGCUGCGGGUGCCCUCCACCCAGGAACACCCCAAGGAGCCCCACUGCGGGGGGACAGGAGGACAGAAGUGUUUUGGGGAAGGGCAGCGCGGGUCGGAGAGGAUGAGCAGAGCCCUGUGCAUGGGGUGGCUGGGCUGGGAGCAGCAGGAUGUAAACAGUCCCCUGCAACACCGGACAAUUCUGGAGCGAAUUCAGGCUGAUCAAAUUAGGUUGCAAUAUGUUCCCUUCCUCCCCUGGGGAGGCAGGAUAAUUGCAGCUGGCUAAUCCGUUCGCAGAGCGCACGGCGCACAUCUGGAGGAAGACAGCGAGGAGAAGAAAAUCCUGCUCGGCUGCUGCGCUCUGCACAUCCAUCCAUCUCUCUUCCUUGGCAUCACAGCGGGGCAGAACCCUCCCCGGUCUGCUGGGCGCCUCGUGGAGCAGUCCCGGGCACCGAAGUGGGGCCAGGAGCGCUGCCCCAGCCCCAGCUCCCACAGCCAGGCACUAAUUUGGUACGGGCUCUGCCGCCCCUGCUCCCGCUCGCCACCCACUGCAGGAAUAACAAGUGCCUGGGAUGAGUCAGCCCGGGGCCCCUCCUGCUCUGCAGGCACUAAUUCGGUUUCCCAUUAGUUCCCAUUACCGCAGUAUUAGAGAGCAACUCGCUCCCAGUUUGCUCGGCAGCCCUUGUAAGGGGGGAGAAGGGCUGCUGCACGCUUGGGAGCCAAGCCAGGAAGUGACCGAGUGUGUCCCGAAGCACAAGAAACCUCUCUCCCAGCACAGCUCUGCACCCCGCGGCCCCAAAUCCCCGCAGCAGGCACUGUGUGAGCACUGCAGGACGCGCUGCCCAGGGACACGCUUCGUCCGCAGCAGCUCUGCUGGGCUGCAGCCGUGCUGGGGGAGGCACAAGCAGAAAAGUCACGCCGAGAGCCAGCACAGAUCCUCCUCGCACUGCAAAGAGCCCCCGCAGGCUUUUCAGCCUCAGCCCCUUCACCUCCGCAUCCCUGCUCCCAGCUGGGAGGUCCCCAUGUCCCCGUGCAUGGACAGGGCAGUGGGAUGGGGUGACAUGGCAUGGCUCAGCGGGGCAGGGAGACCCCCAGGAGGUUCCUACAGGCUCAUCUUCUUGGGAACAACCAGGGCACAGCGAUGCAGGACGUCUCUAGCGGGCAGCUACCAGUGGCCACCCCCAAGAGCCAGCCCUGACCCCGAUGCAGCGAGAAACCCGGGUCAGGUCCCGCGGCACCCCUCCACCCCAGCCCAUCCCGGGGGCUCCUACCUGUAGGACACCUGCUUUCUGAUGGCCACGUGCAGGAACUGCUCCUCCACCUCCGCCACCGCCACGGCCCCUCGCAUCUCCUCCCAAGCCGGGUCCACGCCGCGGAGGCCCAGGCUUCGCUCUCGCCCGCUGCUCUCUGCGCCCGCCGCUCCCAGGGGGCUCGCUGCAGCCCCCCUGGCCCCCUGGCCAUCACCCCUGGCCGGGGUGAGGUCUCUCCAGCUCCCGGGACCUUCUGCCAUGCUGGGGCAAGACGCUUCUCCAGGCAGGGAGCCGCGCUCGGCUCGGUCUCCCCAGGGCCUUGGGUGGAUGCCGGUGAGGCUUCGCUCCCCGGGGGAGCAAAAUCUCAGGGGAAAAGUAGCGGAGCCGCCGUCCAACUUUUCGCCGUGCUUUCUUUCGGCCUCUGGGCAGCACUUUGAGGGGCUCAGCCUCCGUCUGCCUCCCUGCCCUGCCUCAGCGAAGCGGAGGAGCGGCGGGCAGAAACCUGCCGACGUCGGUGCCGCGGCUCUGAGGUGCCAGGGCAGCAGGGGAGCGCGGUGCCGGUGGGGAAAGGGGUCUCAGGAGAGAGACCAGGGGUGAAGGAGAGCCCGGGCUGCCUGCUGGGGGGGACCAGGGCCAGGCGCGUCCCUCGGCGUCCCCUGUGGCAGCGGGAGAGGCAGGGAGAGGCUGGCAGCGAGGAAGGUGCCUGUGCACCGAUCCUGCAGAAGCCCUCAAAAGACAAAGCAGAAAGCGAGCGGAGCGUGAGCGUGUGCGUGGGGAGGGGGGCUGCGGGGAGCGACAGGAGCGUGGUGUCACCUUAGAGACACUCGGAAACUGGCACUUAACCCUUCGGGGGCCGGGGAGGCUGAGGAGGGUGAGGACGGCAGCCAUCCCUCACUGCUCACAGUCCAGCCUGCCAGGGCUGCUCACCCGAUGCGGGUGUGUGCAGUGGGAACCCCAAAAAACUGCAGGACAGCAGCCCCAGCAGAAAAAAGGAUCUGCUGCUCGGGGUCCCAGUCUCUUCAUGAGCCCGGUCCCAGCCACGCCAGCUGGGCUGAGAGACCCCUGCACGGCUCCCAUAUGUGCCUGGCAUCUUGGUUGGGAUUUGCUCUGCCCCCUGUUCACACACCGGGGCUCUCUACCUGCUGGGCACCGGCAUGUCAGUGCUUGGGGUCUGGGGCUGCCACCCACUUGCCCCAGGGACCCGUGCGCUUUCCAGGACCGGCUCUGCAGCCCCCAGGCCCCAAACCCACACAGUUGGGACUUGGGAGCCCUGAGCCCUCCUCGCAGCGUGACUCAGCCUCUCCAGCCCCCACAGUGGGGUUGUUCCCCCCCACAGCCUUCCCCUGGGCACCUGGGGGAGCUCCAGUGCCCCACUGCCUCCUGCUCACAGCCCUCGUGUCCCCCUACAUGUCACAUCAGGGCUUGUAGACCCACCCUCACCCGGGCUGGCCGGCCAGGGAUGCAGGAUGUGGGUCUUCCUCUGGGUUUUAUGACACAUUCCCAGGGCUGCCAGAGCUGCAGUGCCUAUUGGUGAGUGCCUCUGGGCUGCCCACGGGGCUGUUCCUGCACUACAGGAAGCCUCUAUGGGAGGAGAAGCAGGGCGCAGGGGAUUUUGCCCUUUCCAUCCUUCGGUGUGGGCACGUGGCACCGUGCAAGGACAGCUCGGUGUUUCCACACACACCCCUUCCUCCUUUCAGCUUCUCCCAUCACAGGCAGGGCAAGCACUCCCCGGGCAGCAACGUCUGCAGUGAGUAAAGCCCCGUGAGGGCGCAGUCUCCUCUGCCGGGCACAAGACGAGAAACCUCCACCAGGCCAGCAAAUCCACACGGACUCACGGCCCCAGCUCCAUCGCCACGAACAAGCACCAUGCACUAGGGGGUGUGAGGAGGCCUGAGCACCUCCCAAGUUGGGACAGAACCAGAGCCAUGGCACUAUGAGCAGUGUCUUUGUUGUACAGACCCUGCACAGACCCUUCAUCAGAGAAGCUCACUGCACCCCACAAACUUUCUUCCACGCUCUUCCACGAGGACAAUGUUAGCGAUAUUGUGGAGAGGGAGAAAAAACGGAGCCGUAACAGUUCUGAUGUGCCCAGAACUGCAGAAAACCUCAUGGUGCUGCUGGAAAUAAAACAUGCAAGUUUGCUUCCAGCCCAAAGGCUGAGCACGAGGUCCCGGUGCUGAGCCAGUUCUGCAUGCAGCCGGCGAGUGGGACAGCCGGGGAGCACGAGGUGAGAAGCUGUGCGCGUGGGCUGCUGUGACAGCCGUGCUUGAAUGAAAGGAUCCAUCAGCCCAGGAUUGAUGCUGCAUCUUUUUAUUUUAUUUUUAUUUUGCUUCUCUAAGCGAAUGCAGAGCAAGUGACAGGAGGAGAGGAAAAGGUGGCUUGAAAAGCAAAACAAAACAAAACAAAACCAAAAA